UACGUAGGGCGCAAGCGUUGUCCGGAAUUAUUGGGCGCAAAGAGCUCGUAGGUGGCUGGUCGCGUCUGCCGUGAAAGCCCGCAGCUUAACUGCGGGUCUGCGGUGGAUACGGGCCGGCUAGAGGUAGGCAGGGGCAAGUGGAAUUCCUGGUGUAGCGGUGAAAUGCGCAGAUAUCAGGAGGAACACCGGUGGCGAAGGCGGCUUGCUGGGCCUUACCUGACGCUGAGGAGCGAAAGCGUGGGGAGCGAACAGG
rnacentral:rRNA from 1 species